rnacentral:rRNA from 1 species
CACRCGACUCUCGGCAACGGAUAUCUCAGCCCUCGCAUCGAUGAAGAACAUAGCAAAAUGCGAUACCUAGUGUGAAUUGCAAAAUCCCGCGAACCAUUGAGUUUUUGAACGCAAGUUGCGCCCGAGGCCUUCUGGCUAAGGGCACGCCUGCCUGGGCGUCACGC